rnacentral:rRNA from 1 species
UACAGAGGCCUCAAGCGUUGUUCGGAUUCAUUGGGCGUAAAGGGUGCGUAGGCGGCGCGGUAAGUCGGGUGUGAAAUCUCGGAGCUUAACUCCGAAACUGCAUUCGAUACUGCCGUGCUUGAGGACUGGAGAGGAGACUGGAAUUUACGGUGUAGCGGUGAAAUGCGUAGAUAUCGUAAGGAAGACCAGUGGCGAAGGCGGGUCUCUGGACAGUUCCUGACGCUGAAGCACGAAGGCCAGGGGAGCAAACGGG